UACGUAGGGGGCUAGCGUUGUCCGGAAUCAUUGGGCGUAAAGCGCGUGUAGGCGGCCCGGUAAGUCCGCUGUGAAAGUCGGGGGCUCAACCCUCGGAUGCCGGUGGAUACUGUCGGGCUCGAGUACGGAAGAGGCGAGUGGAAUUCCUGGUGUAGCGGUGAAAAUGCGCAGAUAUCAGGAGGAACACCAAUUGCGAAGGCAGCUCGCUGGGACGUUACUGACGCUGAGACGCGAAAGCGUGGGGAGCAAACAGG
rnacentral:rRNA from 1 species